AACCAAAUGAAAGGAGGUGAUCCAGUGUCUAGAGAGGUAUUGGAGAAUGGCGUCGGGACAGCUUGGGAGGAUCGCCGCUAGGCAACCCUAGGGGGCGAACCCCAUCCCAGGUGGACCAGCGGUCCUGACCGCGCCCACCUCCUGAUUUCUCGAAAAGGGUCGUGCCAUUGGUGCGGCCC
rnacentral:sRNA from 1 species